rnacentral:rRNA from 1 species
AUGUUCGCGCACGGCUCUCUCGCGAGGUUUAGCCAGCUUGCUCGAAGGCCCCUGCGCGCCGCUGGCUCCCCGCUCCGCUGCUGCCUUCAGGGAUCAGUUGGUCCAAAUAAUUUGCCCUCCUCUGCCAUGGAACAGGGGCAGGGAGCUACAAACAAUGCGCCGAAACAUAGGAAAACAGAUUCACCUGUGCAGAGAUGGAGGCCAGUCUCAACACAAGCAUCUUCCCCAAAAGCUCACCUUGAUGACCUAUCCAAUUCCGCAAGGAAGCAAACGGUGGGGACUUCCAUCAGUGAUAGUGAGAAUUUGGCAUCGGAUGAAAACACUAUGGAGGUAAUGGGAGAAAAAUAUCCCUCUUCUGUUGAGGUAGAUGUUCCUCUAAUGCGUUUUCUCAAAGGAAAAGGUGGAUCUGUGCAGAAGCAGAUUGAACAGGAGACUGGAGUUAAAAUCAUUUUCCCAUCUGCAAAGGAGGAAACACUUGUUGCCCUCGAAGGCAAAAGUGCUGAAAGUAUUAGAAAAGCAUCAGAGAGGAUUUCAAAGAUCCUUGAAGAGGCUGUUCAAAGUCCAAUGCUAGAUUACUCGCAUUUCAUAUCACUUCCGUUGGCCAUCCACCCGGCUCUUGUCGAGAAGCUAAAUAACUUCCAGAGGUCGAUCCUCGGGGCGUCUGCAUCUAAUGUGGAUAGUGAUAAGGAUGAAAGCCUAAGCGAAGGUUCUAUGGAAGAAAUUGAUGAAGCAGCGAACCCUAGUGUUUCAGUCAAGCUGCCAGUCAAAGAAGAAAUUUCUGUCAUAGUGAAAAUGGAUAAUAAGGGCUCCCAACCAGAGUUCGGCAUUGACAAGUCGAUAUUCAUAAAACCCAAAACGUUUCACCUAACGGUUCUUAUGUUGAAGUUGUGGAACAAGGAUCGUAUUGCUCAGGCUUCUGAAGUCCUCCAGUCAAUAUCUUCCCAGGUAAAUGAAGCUUUGGAAAACCGACCUAUCUCUAUACGACUUAAGGGUCUGACAUGCAUGAAAGGCUCACCAGCUAGGGCCCGUGUUGUAUAUGCUCCAGUACUUGAAAUUGGUGGAGAAGGGCGCCUUGUUCGAGCUUGCAAGGUAAUAACUGACGCCUUCGUCAAGUCAGGCCUGGUUCUUGAAAGGGAUGCCAAACAAGAAUUGAGGUUGCAUGCAACCAUAAUGAAUGUGCGCCACAGGAAGAGCAAGAAAUCGAACCGAAGAAACGAUUCGUUCGAUGCUCGGGCUAUAUUCAGACAAUACGGGGAACAGGAUUGGGGCGAGUACCCAGUACCGGCAGUGCACCUAUCGCAGAGGUUCAAGUUCGACGAGGGUGGAUACUACCAUUGCUGCUGCUCGAUUCCCUUGCCUGAGGUGGCUCAGACGGAGUGA